UACAGAGGGUGCGAGCGUUGUUCGGAAUUAUUGGGCGUAAAGGGCGCGUAGGCGGCGCCACAAGUCACCUGUGAAAACUCUGGGCUCAACCCAGAGCCUGCAGGCGAAACUGUGGUGCUGGAGUAUGGGAGAGGUGCGUGGAAUUCCCGGUGUAGCGGUGAAAUGCGUAGAUAUUGGGAAGAACACCGGUGGCGAAGGCGGCGACCUGGUCCUUGACUGACGCUGAGGCGCGAAAGCGUGGGGAGCAAACAGG
rnacentral:rRNA from 1 species